UAUAUAUAUAAAAGUCUCAAAUGUUUUUAGGAAAGACCUGGACUUUGUCGGUGGGUCUCUGUCAUCGUCGGUGGUUGGUCUCUUUCGUCCAAUCGUUGUCCUGGACGUUGUCCGAUCGUUUUCGUGGGCGUUGUCGUGGGUCUCUGUCAUCUUCAACAACGUUGCCCGAUCGUUGUCAUGGUCUCUGUCACUGGCGUUGGUUGGAUCUGUAGAUUUGGGUCACGGGCAUUGGCGGGUCGUCCCUGGAGUGGUGGAGUUCGCCGUCCGUAGAGUCCGUAGAUAUCAUCGUUGAGGUGGGUCGUCGUCUGUAGACCUGUAGAUCUCUUCUCGCCGUCGGUGUGUCCAGCUUUUCCGAUCCGGUGGAAUGGUUCGAGAAGAACAUUUUGAAGAGGGGUUGUACCUGAGACUACUACAAAGAAGGGAAAGGACUACCCCGUUGGCCCUAUUCUUCUUGGAUUCUUCAUUUUUGUCGUCAUUGGAUCAUGUUCCAUUGGCCGAACCACGUAUAUCAUUGUCUUCAUCUUUUCUUCAUCCUUCAUCUUCUUCAUCUGUAUGCUUGAAACUGUUAACAAAUCUUGCAAAACACCAUUGAAACCAGAAUGGAGUUUAGAGAGAAGUGAGAGCUUCUGAGCUCCUUUAGAGAGAGAAAGUAAUUUCAUUUACCAAGUUAAUUUCCAUCAGAUUCUUUUUCUUCUCACCAGAACAGUUAAAGUGGUUUUCACCACGUGGUCAUCUCCCAGCUCAAUGGCAUGGUUGUUUCUCAUCCUUUCGUUUUAUCUACCUUUCUUUCUUCGCGUGGAUUAGCUUUCAACUUGAUUUGUGAUGGAGUAUAUUAACAUGCAGCGGAGAAAAUCAGAAUAAAAAAGCACUCUAAUUAUACUUCAUUUUGAGUUUAAAACAUGCUUCAAAGUAACUAUUACAGAAGAGGGUUUGCUGAACACAAUACCUUUUAAGAAACCUCUUCUACACCAGCUGAGUUCCACGUAAAUGUGUUUCAAUCUACAAGUAGACCAACACGAAGAUCUUCUCUACUAUUCUCUUGCAAUGAUUGUGUGGUGGAAACACUAAAUUGAGCUGGAUUUUAUGAAGAUAUGAAGAGGGCUUGGAGGGUUUCGAUUUCCGCAGAGUUCUUGAAGGAGUUCUUGAAAGCUUAAUCUCAUUAUUCAACCCAGCACUUUAAUUUAUAAAGCUUUCAUAUUGCAAAUUCAUAGCUUGCAUGAAGGCCAGUUCCUACUUCUCUGA